rnacentral:rRNA from 1 species
CCUACGGGUGGCAGCAGUGAGGAAUAUUGGUCAAUGGUCGGGAGACUGACCCAGCCAAGCCGCGUGAGGGAUGAAGGUACAGAGUAUCGUAAACCUCUUUUGUCAGGGAACAAAGGCGGGGACGUGUCCCCGGAUGAGUGUACCUGACGAAAAAGCAUCGGCUAACUCCGUGCCCGCAGCCGCGGUAAUACGGAGGAAGCGAGCGUUAUCCGGAUUUAUUGGGUUUAAGGGUGUGGGAGGCGGUCUGUUAAGUCAGGGGUCAAAGCCCGGGGCUCACCCCGGGACCGCCGUGGAAACUGGCAGUCUCGAGUUGGAGAGAAGUAGGCGGAAUGCGCGGUGUAGCGGUGAAAGGCAUAGAUAUCGAGCAGAACUCCGAUUGCGAAGGCAGCAUGCCGGCUCCACACUGACGCGGAGGCACGAAAGCGUGGGUAUCGAACAGGAUUAGAUACCCCAGUAGUC